AGCAGCGAAAGGAGAGCGACGUGCUUGGUGUUCUGGGACUGUAGUCGUAUUGUUCGGACUGUGAAGAAUAAUUUGAUCAGUUACUGCAGUCCCACUUACCACGCUGUCAACAUCCGACAUAAUUGAGGUAUACUUCGUAGUCAUCGUCGUAUUCGCUGAUGUUGCAGUUGACGUCCCCGACUCCAACAUACUGGACAGAUCUGUGCCUUGGAUACCCUGAGAAUAGAAUAACGGAGCUCAGACGAAGUUAGCUUGGUGUUAAAAUGGGACUAAUGUGAAGACUCGGACGAUGCGAAAGAGAACGGGAAUCAGUUGAAUGGUACAUCGGAAGACUUCACAGCAAAAAACCAUAAGUCCGUAAAACAUUUUGAUAUUUUGAUACAUGUUAAAAAUUGAAUGUAAAUAAACAAAGUAUCAGUACUACAAAGAAUACGGCAAUGUUUAGUAACGAAAGAAACGUUUCUCGCAUUUUCCGUGAAAAAUAACUGGCAUUAAUUCUACAUUGAUUUCCAAGUAAGUGUUAAUAAUUCAUUUUGCAUAGUUUCAUAGUUCUUCUUUAUCCAAAUCAAGGUUCAUCGUUAACAUUAUUUUAUUUUACUCACCGUAACAGCGACCAGGAGGCACAAAGUAAUUGCGAAUUUUGCCAUCUUGAACGAUUUGGAUUGAGCAGAAUACUUGGUAGUCGAAUUGAAACAAAGUUGUGAUACGAUAUGCCGAAAUUCGCGCUCCUUAUAUACCUACGCAAUGAAACCAGCGUAAUCGUGUGCAAAUUAAACACUUGUGUAAACCCCGGAAUAGGAGGAUGAACAGCGAAAAGUAUGGAGUGGUUAAAGCCACGACAGGAAGUUCUCUAAGCUGCACUAAAGAUGUAAAAAAUUGACUGCUCAUUUUUUGGGAAUGAGUAAUCUUUCACAAGGCUCACCAGAUAUUUGGCCUAGGAAACGAUUCGAUUCUAGGAGAAUAAUGGAACCUGUUCAGUAUAAAAUUCUGUGAUUUAGGAAUAUCGGAGGUAUCUCAGAAAAAAAAUCGAGAUGUACAGAGUAUUUCAACACAGGUAACUAAUUUCUCAAGUCUUAUUGCAAUUUUCUUUUCUAGGUCGAUCACAUUAGUCUACUUUGUUGUUUUGACUUUUCAUUUUUCAGCUCUGCAAUAACUAUCAACUUUCUUAAGAUUCCUGUUUUGAUCGGUAUCAAUCCAUUUUGGAUUUCCCAUGACUCGUAUAGAAAUUCCCAGCUUUAUUUCAGCCAUUAAAUCAUAUUGUAUCUAAGCCUGUGCGAAUCUUGGAAAAGUAGAAGACCACCAAAAUUCAUUUACCUUCUCGACAAUUCGCAAAAUAAACUCGUGUACGCCAUUUGUGUAACCUUAGCAGUUGAAUGUUUGCUUCGUUAGUAUUAUUUCUACAUCGAGUUACGUCGUAGUGAUAAAUGAAGAAAUUAAGAUAAGGUUGAUGCUCCAAAUUACGACUGAUCGUCAGAUGGUGCAAGAUAAAAGUAAUGAAUUAAUGAUUCUGAUGCAUUUCUUUUUCGCGAAAAGUAGAGAAAUAUAUUGCAUUCCAGCAAUUUAUUUCACAAAGGUAACAAAAACUUUUAUUUCCCAUUUCUUAAAAAAUAUACAUAUAUUUAUUGGGCUAGAACGAAAUUUUUCUUAUCGAUGUUAGUUAUCGUAGUAGGCGAUCCAUUGCAUUACUGGAAAGGAAUAUUUUUUACGUCUGUAACAGCGAGAGAAAUUAGGUAUCAAACCUGUUGAAUCUAAUUAUAGGGUUCGCGCUUACAGAUGCGUAUAAUUUUAACGUAGCCCCAACGCACGCGCUGAUUCAGAUCACUUGUCUAAAUAUAGCAGAAAAUAUUGGAGAAUCGAAAUCGCUAUCGCUCUGUUCAUCAAACAGGUAUACUGCAAAUAUUUGCAUGGUUUUGCUCACUUAAUCGUAUUAUCAUCAUUUUACCAAUCAUAUAAUUAUUCUAUGUCUCGUAACCGAGUUACUGACAUUGAGUUCAAUCGACCCCACUGAAGUAUCAACGUGCUAUUAUUGUACCAUCUGUUUUUUCCUUUACUUCGAAUAUUAUCUUUCUGUCCCUGAUCACAAAACUUGGAUUUCUAGCGUUUAUACUUUUUCCACAGCGAAAACUUAGACAUUAAUUGGAGACACUGUGGAAUAUGUAUCGACAGUUUCGUUGGAUAAUAGGAUGGAAAAUAAUUUUUGCAGUGUCGAGCAAAUCCGGACGUAUAUGUUGAACACGCGUCGACUUUGUGACGUUUUUGAAACCCUCGUGCAUGUACAGUCAAUCUGAAUUUAUAAAUUCGAAUAGAUGUCUUGACACAACAUGCAUGUGAAAGGUGAUUGGAACAGAUUGCACGAAGAUCCUUGAUACGUCAUCGAAUCAAUAAUAUAAUU